UGAGCAUCUGCGUCGCCCGGAAGGUGAGA
rnacentral:sRNA from 1 species